GACGAACGCUGGCGGCGUGCCUAAUACAUGCAAGUCGAGCGCAGGAAGCCGUCUGAACCCUUCGGGGGGACGACGGUGGAAUGAGCGGCGGACGGGUGAGUAACACGUAAAGAACCUGCCCAUAGGUCUGGGAUAACCACGAGAAAUCGGGGCUAAUACCGGAUGUGUCAUCGGACCGCAUGGUCCGCUGAUGAAAGGCGCUUCGGCGUCGCCCAUGGAUGGCUUUGCGGUGGAUUAGCUAGUUGGUGGGGUAACGGCCCACCAAGGCGACGAUGCAUAGCCGACCUGAGAGGGUGAUCGGCCACACUGGGACUGAGACACGGCCCAGACUCCUACGGGAGGCAGCAGUAGGGAAUCUUCCACAAUGGACGAAAGUCUGAUGGAGCAACGCCGCGUGAACGAUGAAGGCUUUCGGGUCGUAAAGUUCUGUUGUAAGGGAAGAACAAGUGCCGCAGGCAAUGGCGGCACCUUGACGGUACCUUGCGAGAAAGCCACGGCUAACUACGUGCCAGCAGCCGCCGUAA
rnacentral:rRNA from 1 species